GAAGAUUGAAGUGGCCGAAACUUGCUUGAAGCUCUUCUACCGGUCUUCAUUUUAACCGACGACGACGAUCAUGAGAGCUCCCUUAGCUGAUCGGACGGCCGACAGCGACUUAGCUUGGCUCCAUUGAUGAGGUAAUCUCCGAUCCUCCAUAAUGCUGUGAUUCUCGCGAAGGUGAAGCGAAUGUAAAGCUCGUUUUGCUUCGAUUAGGAUCGCUCAUGUUAGAUUCGUGUAUUUGAUUCUGAACUUCACAUGUUAAUUUCGUUUGCGUAGGGUCACGAAUACGAGUUUGAAAUCGCAAAAAUCUGCUCCUCAAUCGGUUGACUGCAAUAUGUUCGACGAAAUUUCUAUGAGGUUUUAAUGCAGAUUAGUUUCGUUCUUUUCGGAAUCCGAAAGUAUGCUGACAUAGAUUAAGUGAUAUUAAUUGAUUUUCAAGUCGCUUAAGCAUGAGUUCUGAUGUUUUCACAAUGGCUGAAUACAUUUCUUAACCAUUAUAAUUCUUCGUUCUGUGCUACGUUGCCGGUGAUUUCCAUGGUAGUGGGCGAUGAGUAUAUGAUGUGGAGUUAUUGUUCUCGACCUUCAGUUCUGGUGACAUUCUUGACCGAGGCUUCUACCGUGUUAUUAGUCUCUCACGCUUGGUUUCCUUGCGAGUCCAUGUACGAGUCAGGGUGGAUUAUAACGGUUAAAGGCAGGUGCUAGAGAUUUUGACCGAUCUCAGUUGUUCGUGUAAGAAUACAAACGGUCGAUGGCUAAGUUUGUCUAUGUGCAGCUUGGAGUCUGGGUGUCUUGAUCUCAAAUCGUAGCUUUGAAACUCAUGUAGUGUUUUGAGUAUAAUCUGGUGGUUCUUGAUCUGUAAGAGGAAAAGGUCAAGAAGGACAAAUAUCAGUGAAUGAAAGAAAACA
rnacentral:lncRNA from 1 species